rnacentral:rRNA from 1 species
ACUACACGAAGCUGGAAUCGCUAGUAAUCGCGGAUCAGAAUGUCGCGGUGAAUACGUUCCCGGGUCUUGUACACACCGCCCGUCACACCAUGGGAGUCGGGAAUGCCCGAAGUCAGUGACCCAACCUAUUGGAGGGAGCUGCCGAAGGCAGGUCUGAUAACUGGGUGAAGUCGUAACAAGGUACC